rnacentral:rRNA from 1 species
CCCUUAGAGUUUGAUCCUGGCUCAGAGUGAACGCUGGCGGCAGGCCUAACACAUGCAAGUCGAACGGCAGCACAGCAGUAGCAAUACUGUGGGUGGCGAGUGGCGGACGGGUGAGGAAUGCAUCGGAAUCUGCCUAUUUGUGGGGGAUAACGUAGGGAAACUUACGCUAAUACCGCAUACGUCCUACGGGAGAAAGUGGGGGACCUUCGGGCCUCACGCAGAUAGAUGAGCCGAUGCCGGAUUAGCUAGUUGGCGGGGUAAAGGCCCACCAAGGCGACGAUCCGUAGCUGGUCUGAGAGGAUGAUCAGCCACACUGGAACUGAGACACGGUCCAGACUCCUACGGGAGGCAGCAGUGGGGAAUAUUGGACAAUGGGCGCAAGCCUGAUCCAGCCAUGCCGCGUGUGUGAAGAAGGCCUUCGGGUUGUAAAGCACUUUUGUCCGGAAAGAAAAGCUUCGGGUUAAUAACCCGGGGUUAUGACGGUACCGGAAGAAUAAGCACCGACUAACUUCGUGCCAGCAGCCGCGGUAAUACGAAGGGUGCAAGCGUUACUCGGAAUUACUGGGCGUAAAGCGUGCGUAGGUGGUUUGUUAAGUCUGAUGUGAAAGCCCUGGGCUCAACCUGGGAACUGCAUUGGAAACUGGCUGACUAGAGUGCGGUAGAGGGGUGUGGAAUUCCCGGUGUAGCAGUGAAAUGCGUAGAUAUCGGGAGGAACAUCUGUGGCGAAGCGACACCCUGGACCAGCACUGACACUGAGCACGAAAGCGUGGGGAGCAAC